rnacentral:tRNA from 1 species
GCUAGCGUAGCUUAAUUAAAGC